UUCCAGACUCCUACGGGAGGCAGCAGUGGGGAAUAUUGGGCAAUGGGCGCAAGCCUGACCCAGCAACGCCGCGUGAAGGAAGAAGGCUUUCGGGUUGUAAACUUCUUUUGUCAGGGACGAAGCAAGUGACGGUACCUGACGAAUAAGCCACGGCUAACUACGUGCCAGCAGCCGCGGUAAUACGUAGGUGGCAAGCGUUAUCCGGAUUUACUGGGUGUAAAGGGCGUGUAGGCGGGUCUGCAAGUCAGAUGUGAAAUCUCAUGGCUCAACCAUGGAACUGCAUUUGAAACUGUAGAUCUUGAGUGAUGGAGAGGCAGGCGGAAUUCCGUGUGUAGCGGUGAAAUGCGUAGAUAUACGGAGGAACACCAGUGGCGAAGGCGGCCUGCUGGACAUUAACUGACGCUGAGGCGCGAAAGCGUGGGGAGCAAACAGGAUUAGAUACCCCGGUA
rnacentral:rRNA from 1 species